rnacentral:lncRNA from 1 species
AUUGUUGAGGUUGACGCAUCUAACACAGGUAUCGGCGCUAUCCUGUCCCAACGUCCAGAUCCCGCCGCGAAACUUCAUCCCUGUGCCUUUUUAUUCUAGGAAGCUCAACUCAGCGGAACCUCCUUGCCAUGAAGGCAGCAUUCGAGGAGUGGAGGCACUGGCUAGAGGGAGCCACACACCCGUUUACAGUACUAACAGAUCACAAGAACCUGGAAUACUUACGCACCGCCAAACGCCUUAAUCCUCGUCAAGCUAGAUGGUCCCUGUUCUUCACUCGAUUCGACUUCUCAGUAACUUAUCGACCCGGCUCCAAGAACACCAAGGCGGAUGCUCUUUCACGUCAAUUUGAGGAGGAGGAUAUUCCAGUAGAUCCAGAACCCAUUCUGCCGUUUCAUGUAGUAGUUGCCCCCAUUCAAUGGGACAUCAUGACUUUGCUCCAACAAUACAGGGAGCAGAACGAGACCCCAGUGGCCUGCCCAGUCGACAGAAUCUUCGUCCCUGAACAUCUUCGUGAUCAGGUCAUCAGUCAAGUUCACUGCCAUCCAUCUUCCGGUCACCCAGGUAUCACAGCCACCAUUAAUCAGCUGGAGAACCGCUUCUGGUGGGAAUCACUGCACAAGGACACAACCAACUACAUACAGCAAUGCAAUAACUGUAUCACUAACAAAUCGUCCAAACAAUCUCCUGCCGGUCUCCUUCAACCACUCCCCAUUCCACAACGACCAUGGUCUCACAUUGCAAUAGACUUUAUUACGGAUCUUCCCAAUUCCCAGGGCCACACUACCAUACUUACCAUCAUAGAUCGAUUCUCCAAGGCUUGUAGACUCAUUCCACUACCCAAACUACCCACAGCUCUUCAGACUGCAGAACACCUCUGCAAUUGGGUCUUUCGAUUGUAUGGCUUACCCAAAGACAUUGUGUCAGACCGAGGACCUCAAUUCACCUCUCAAUUAUUGUCAGCCUUCUUCAAAGCUCUGAAUGUCAAUGUCAGCCUCACCUCUGGUUAUCAUCCCCAGGCAAACGGACAAGUAGAGAGGCUCAAUCAAGAACUGAACCGCUUCUUUAGGACCUACUGCAAC